GGGGACUUUGUUAUGGGCGAAAGCCUGAUCAGCCAUGCCGCGUGAGUGAUGAAGGCCCUAGGGUUGUAAAGCUCUUUUGUGCGGGAAGAUAAUGACGGUACCGCAAGAAUAAGCCCCGGCUAACUUCGUGCCAGCAGCCGCGGGUAAUACUUCGUGCCAGCAGCCGCGGUAAUA
rnacentral:rRNA from 1 species